UGGGGAAUAUUGCGCAAUGGGCGAAAGCCUGACGCAGCGACGCCGCGUGAGGGAUGAAGGUUUUCGGAUCGUAAACCUCUGUCAGAAGGGAAGAAACCGCACUGUGCUAAUCAGCAGUGCCUUGACGGUACCUUCAAAGGAAGCACCGGCUAACUCCGUGCCAGCAGCCGCGGUAAUACGGAGGGUGCAAGCGUUAAUCGGAAUUACGGGGCGUAAAGCGCACGUAGGCUGCUUUGUAAGUCAGGGGUGAAAUCCCACGGCUCAACCGUGGAACUGCCUUUGAUACUGCUUAGCUUGAAUCCGGGAGAGGGUGGCGGAAUUCCAGGUGUAGGAGUGAAAUCCGUAGAUAUCUGGAGGAACAUCAGUGGCGAAGGCGGCCACCUGGACCGGUAUUGACGCUGAGGUGCGAAAGCGUGGGGAGCAAACAGG
rnacentral:rRNA from 1 species